rnacentral:tRNA from 1 species
UAUAUUCUAGUAUAAUAUGUACAAAAAUUUUUGAAAUUUUUAGAAGCAGUAUAAUUCUGCUGAAUAUAA